rnacentral:rRNA from 1 species
AAUCAACGCUGGCGGCGUGCCUCAGACAUGCAAGUCGAACGAUUAAAAGCUCUCUUCGGAGAGUGCAUAGAGUGGCGCACGGGUGAGUAACACGUAAGUAAUCUACCUUCGAGUGGGGAAUAACGUCCGGAAACGGACGCUAAUACCGCAUAAUGCAGCGGCAUCGUAAGAUGACAGUUGUUAAAGAUUUAUCGCUUGAAGAGGAGCUUGCGGCAGAUUAGCUAGUUGGUAAGGUAAUGGCUUACCAAGGCUACGAUCUGUAACCGGUCUUAGAGGACGGUCGGUCACACUGACACUGAAUAACGGGUCAGACUCCUACGGGAGGCAGCAGUCGGGAAUUUUGGGCAAUGGGCGAAAGCCUGACCCAGCAACGCCGCGUGAAGGAUGAAGUAUUUCGGUAUGUAAACUUCGAAAGAUAGGAAGAAUAAAUGACGGUACUAUUUAUAAGGUUCCGGCUAACUACGUGCCAGCAGCCGCGGUAAU